rnacentral:lncRNA from 1 species
GGACCCUUGCAAUCGUUUCUAAUCAAUUUGUGUUAAGUUUUGGUGCUUUUUGAUAGCUUUAUGCUCACCAAAGCAAUUUAAGAAUGAGGGAGAGCUAUAUAUAAUUCAUGGCAAAGCUUUUGGAAGCUCAAAUUUAAGAAGAAACCAAGCUUUGGAGCCUCAUAAUCCUUUGCCUUAGUCGUUCAAAGUAUGCAAGGAAAGAACAAUGGAGAAGAGGAAAACAGGGUGAUGAAAAUAGGGGACACAGCUGCAGUCUUUCAUCGCA